UACGUAGGGUGCGAGCGUUGUCCGGAAUUAUUGGGCGUAAAGAGCUUGUAGGUGGUUUGUCGCGUCCGCUGUGAAAUCCCGGGGCUCAACCCUGGGCGUGCAGUGGAUACGGGCAGGCCGGAGGCAGGCAGGGGAGAACGGAAUUCCCGGUGUAGCGGUGAAAUUCGUAGAUAUUGGGAAGAACACCGGUGGCGAAGGCGGCGCUCUGGACCGAGACUGACGCUGAGGCGGCGAAAAGCGUGGGGAGCAAACAGG
rnacentral:rRNA from 1 species